GAAUGGGGGAACCCGAUUACUUAUAAGUGAAUUCAUAGCUUAUAAGGGCGAACCUAGGGAACUGAAACAUCUAAGUACCUAGAGGAAAAGAUAUUCCGUUAGUAGUGGCGAGCGAACGCGGACCAGGCCAGUGCUACUUUUUACUAAACCAGAACUGUAUGGAAAGGCAGGCCAUAGUGAGUGAUAGCCUCGUAUGGGUAGAUAGUAAGAAAUAGACAUGAGUAGGGCGGGACANGUGAAAUCCUGUCUGAAUAUAGGAAGGCCCUUCCUAAGCCUAAAUACUACUUAGACCGAAGA
rnacentral:rRNA from 1 species